CACUGAACUAUCAGAAGUCAGCAGAGGUCAUAGUAACUCCGCUAAUCGCGAUAGCGGAUGAAGGAC
rnacentral:ncRNA from 1 species